GGAACACCUUCUCCAGCACCUCCUCCACAAUAUAUGCUCCCAGUUCUCCCCUUGUGCUACCUCUGGUGCUCUCUUUGGUCAAAAAGACUGAAGAGGUCACUUCUCUGCUCUGACUUCCUCUUGUGAACAUUUAACCAAGAAAGCAGCUUCUCUGCACAUUCCAUAAGGCAGCAGAAAUGGCGUGACAAUAAAAUCACAGCUGAGUGCA
ensembl:lncRNA